rnacentral:tRNA from 1 species
GUCAUGGUAGUGUAAUUGGUAACACUCUCUGAAUCUAUCACAUUCAAGCAGCAUUCCUGGUUCAAGUCCAGGCCGUGACA